rnacentral:pre_miRNA from 1 species
UUUAAGUGUAGCUAUAAAUUUUAGUGUCCAAGAUUUGAUCGUUCAUAUUAUUUUUUUAUAGUUAGUAUUUUUAUUAUUAUUAAAUGAUAAAUCAUGAAUAAUAUUUUAUGUGUGAUUUAUUUUUUUAAGUCUUUUAUAAAAUAUGGAUGGUCAAAUGUUACAUACGAAAAUUCACAACUGUAUUUAAA